rnacentral:rRNA from 1 species
AUACGGAGGGUGCGAGCGUUAAUCGGAAUUACUGGGCGUAAAGGGUGCGUAGGCGGCUUGAUAAGUCGGAUGUGAAAGCCCCGGGCUUAACCUGGGAAUUGCAUUCGAUACUGUCAGGCUAGAGUAUGUCAGAGGUUGGCGGAAUUCCUGGUGUAGCGGUGAAAUGCGUAGAUAUCAGGAGGAACACCAGUGGCGAAAGCGGCUAACUGGGGCACUACUGACGCUGAGGCACGAAAGCGUGGGGAGCAAACAGGAUUAGAAACCCGUGUAGUCC